ACGGGUCAAUGCAAGGUUGCUCAAUGUCAGAGAAUCAGAUGGACUUUGAGUUCAAACGCGAAGACCGAGGGUUUUGCGGCGCUCACCUCGUCGCUUCCUCCGACGGUGGGCGACGACGGCGGAGAAGGCGAUAUUGAGGCCCACGGCAACGAGCGCUGCCGCACCGGCGAUGGCGAUGACCCUGCGCUCUCGUCUUCUGGGCUCCAUCCCGGAGCCCCGAUGGGUUCUAGAAGGUUCUGGAGAAGGGGCCGGCCGCGGGCGGCGAGGAGAGAAGAAGGUUUCCUAGUGGCGGUGUGGGCGGCGAGACUUGUCUCGAACGGUAGCAGCGCCUGAGCCAGCGACUUCGCGAGCGGAGGUCACGACUCACGAAGAUAUGCGAGAUCUGGCCGGUAGUUUCCGCGUGGACGGCUGGAUUUUGAGGGAACACGCGUAGCCGUUUUAUGAAAAUCCACGUCAUUUCCCUUUCAGGCCUUUUCAUUUUAUCCCCAAUCACAAAAUCCUCUCAAUCCGAUGGAAUGAGCAAGACCUCACCAAAAACUAAUCCAUUCAAAGA
rnacentral:misc_RNA from 1 species